rnacentral:rRNA from 1 species
AUUGAACGCUGGCGGCAUGCCUUACACAUGCAAGUCGAACGGCAGCGCGGGAGCAAUCCUGGCGGCGAGUGGCGAACGGGUGAGUAAUAUAUCGGAACGUGCCCAGUAGUGGGGGAUAGCCCGGCGAAAGCCGGAUUAAUACCGCAUACGACCUGAGGGUGAAAGCGGGGGAUCGCAAGACCUCGCGCUAUUGGAGCGGCCGAUAUCAGAUUAGCUAGUUGGUGGGGUAAAGGCCUACCAAGGCAACGAUCUGUAGUUGGUCUGAGAGGACGACCAGCCACACUGGGACUGAGACACGGCCCAGACUCCUACGGGAGGCAGCAGUGGGGAAUUUUGGACAAUGGGCGCAAGCCUGAUCCAGCAAUGCCGCGUGCAGGAAGAAGGCC